GACGAACGCUGGCGGCGUGCUUAACACAUGCAAGUCGAACGGUGAAGGGGCCUGCUUUUGUGGGCCCUGGAUGAGUGGCGAACGGGUGAGUAACACGUGAGUAACCUGCCCCCUUCUUCUGGAUAACCGCAUGAAAGUGUGGCUAAUACGGGAUAUUCUGGGUCUGUCGCAUGAUGGGUCUGGGAAAGAUUGCGCCUUUGGGUGUUUUUGGUGGGGGAUGGGCUCGCGGCCUAUCAGCUUGUUGGUGGGGUGAUGGCCUACCAAGGCGGUGACGGGUAGCCGGCCUGAGAGGGUGGACGGUCACACUGGGACUGAGACACGGCCCAGACUCCUACGGGAGGCAGCAGUGUGGAAUAUUGCACAAUGGGCGCAAGCCUGAUGCAGCGACGCCGCGUGAGGGAUGGAGGCCUUCGGGUUGUAAACCUCUUUCGCCAGUGAAGCAGGCCUGCUCCUUGUGGGUGGGUUGACGGUAGCUGGAUAAGAAGCGCCGGCUAACUACGUG
rnacentral:rRNA from 1 species